GUGCUCGCUUCGACAACACAUAUAAUAUAAUUGGAACGAUACAGAGAAGAUUAGAAUGGCCCCUGUGCAAGGAUAACACGCAAAUUCAUGAAGUGUUCCAUUAAAAA